rnacentral:rRNA from 1 species
GACGAACGCUGGCGGCGUGCUUAACACAUGCAAGUCGAGCGAUGAAGCACCUUCGGGUGUGAAUUAGCGGCGAACGGGUGAGGAACACGUGAGAAAUCUGCCUUCAACUCUGGGAUAACUCCGGGAAACCGGGGCUAAUACCGGAUAUGAGCCUUGAUCGCAUGAUCGGGGCUGGAAAGUUUUUCGGUUGAAGAUGAUCUCGCGGCCUAUCAGCUUGUAGGUGAGGUAAUGGCUCACCAAGGCGACGACGGGUAGCCGGCCUGAGAGGGCGACCGGCCACACUGGGACUGAUGUACGGCCCAGACUCCGACGGGAGGCAGCAGGGGGGAAUAUUGGGCAAUGGAGGAAACUCUGACCCAGCGACGCCGCGUGAGGGAUGAAGGCCUUCGGGUUGUAAACAUCUUUCAGUAGGGAAGAAGCGAAAGUGACGGUACCUACAGAAGAAGCACCGGCUAACUAUGUGCCAGCCGCCGCCGUAA